CACGUGCGGUCCGUUAGGUAUGUCGGAGAGAGGGCUUCUAAGCAAGGGGAGACGGAGGGAGAGUAGCAGAAGAAGUGGGAGGAGCCGUUCCUGGUCUAGCCCUUUCUACUGGUGAAUAGAAGAAGAGGCCGGCUGCCCAUGACGGCGACUAGGUAACCGCUGUUCCACCAGUUGAAAUAGAGAGCUCGGCCCUACGACCCAGUACGGUCAAAAAACUCUAGGUGCCUGUGCAAGUGUGCAUGGACGGCCUCAACUGAGCGGUACCGUACAGGGUCAGGGUGCACGAAGUGGUAUCUAGGUCCGCGCUCGUGUUGAAGCAGGUGUCGACGGUCCGUUUCUAGGUUGUUCGAGUCCCUGCGGGGGGACGCGACGUGGCGUGACGACGAGCUGCCUGUCGGUUGCGUGCCACGACGAAAACCGAACGUGGUUGGUUGAGGAACAACGCCGAUAGGACAAGAAUUAGAAGCGCUCUACUCGUGAAUCAAAAUCACAUCUCAGGACAUUACCCCUCUCAGAUUAAAGCACUAAUGUAAUUCAUCAUGCUUGUGCACAUUCGACGUACGAUUACAGGACAGAAAACAAGAGGGUGACGAUAUACAAUAACAGCACAGCUUCGUACAUUAGUACCAAUAGAGACAUAUUAUAAUUAGUUCAAGAUGGGAGUACCGUCCGUAAAAAUAACUGCUAAAGAAUACUGAGUGUGAUGUAAAUUAAUUAGUAUUGGAGAGUAAAAAAAUAAGUGAUACACAUCAGUGUAGUUAGUAUCGGGUCCUCCUUCUAGACAAUCCGCCUCUUGUGGAAACUAGAACCACGUGGUCGUCAGCGGCCGAAAAGUCGGAGUAAUAAAAGCGGCUAUAAUACCGGAGCUCUACAGCCUAUUUCCGUCGACGCUGCCCCUCUGGCGACUACUGUAGCAAGUACUUCUAUCGGUUUUAAGUCGUCUCACCACUGAGUCGACACGGUGGUCGUGGCUGUAGAGCGUACAGACAGUUCGUGUGAUAACUUCAGUAUGUCUGUAAGUUACUCAAGUUCACUAAUGAACAGUACUCGAAACCGAAACCGCCGUACGAGCUUGAGGAUUACAACGUCUUUGACUUGGAGUUUAAGUCAUGAACCUGUUACUCGUUCCAGUCGUGGUGGGCUACGCGGUAACAGGACCGACUCUUGUUCUAUGAAUUCAAGACUCGUAUCCUACAAGUGUUUCAGAAACCUUAGGGUACAUCUGUAGCGUUGUAUUUCCCAACCCUACCGGUGUAGUUCGGUCUUCUUUAAUUCAAGUAUUUCAGCUACACGAACAGCCGUUAUCUGAGUAACCAGUACUUGACUACACGAACGAAAAGGCGGUAAAACGAGUCGGACUAACAGUUCGUCUAUGGCUUUUGGGGAUAGAUUCCACCUCCGUGGGAUAGCUUGGACUAAAGAGUUGAGACCACAACAGACUAAGACCAAAGAAGGUGUGCCAUUGUUAUGUCUUCAUCAAUAGACGACUGAGCUAGUUCAUACUGUAUCGUAGCAGAGUUCGCAAGUAGUGUGGCCACGGCGCGGGCCUUCCGACCUACUAAGAUCACACCCUAUACGAUGUUUUUCAUAAUUUACACUGACUAGGAGAAAUACGGUUUUCAAGUUGGUUAGUGGGUAUGUUCCUUGCGCUGCUUCGGAACCGUACCUUCGACGUGUUACGUAAUGAGAGCACGGAACCGUACUUAAGAUAGGGCCUACCGGUCGUUGGUUCCUUUUGACCACCUAGUUCGUACUUGGGUGUUGGCUACUGUAGAAGUGCUGCAUUCACUGUGGUCCAGUCCUGAUGUAGGAAUAACGACUUUUCUGAGUGGG
rnacentral:rRNA from 1 species